AGAGUUUGAUCCUGGCUCAGAUUGAACGCUGGCGGCAUGCCUUACACAUGCAAGUCGAACGGCAGCACGGGGGCAACCCUGGUGGCGAGUGGCGAACGGGUGAGUAAUACAUCGGAAUGUACCCAGUAGUGGGGGAUAACUAGUCGAAAGAUUAGCUAAUACCGCAUACGCACUAUGGUGGAAAGCGGGGGAUCGCAAGACCUCGCGCUAUUGGAGCAGCCGAUGUCCGAUUAGGUAGUUGGUGGGGUAAAAGCCUACCAAGCCUGCGAUCGGUAACUGGUCUGAGAGGACGACCAGUCACACUGGGACUGAGACACGGCCCAGACUCCUACGGGAGGCAGCAGUGGGGAAUUUUGGACAAUGGGCGGAAGCCUGAUCCAGCCAUGCCGCGUGAGUGAAGAAGGCCUUCGGGUUGUAAAGCUCUUUCGGCGGGGAAGAAAUUGCUUGGGUUAAUACCCUGAGUAGAUGACGGUACCCGAAUAAGAAGCACCGGCUAACUACGUG
rnacentral:rRNA from 1 species